AUCUUCCUCACCCAAAGUGUAUACUGUAAGUCACCAUCAGAACAGAGGUGACUCCAUUUUGUAUUACAAUGCUAAGACAGACACAAACGUUUUUCUAUCUGUAACUCUAUUCAUUCAAGUCUGAGCUAAGGAAUACAACUUAUGUAAACAAAACCUGAGAUAAGACAUGAUGUCUACAGCAAAAGGGGGGUUGAAUGCUACAACCCAG